rnacentral:rRNA from 1 species
UUGAUCAUGGCUCAGGAUGAACGCUAGCGGCAGGCUUAACACAUGCAAGUCGAGGGGCAGCGGGAUGUAGCAAUACAUUGCCGGCGACCGGCGGAUGGGUGCGUAACGCGUAUGCAACCUACCUUAUACAGGGGAAUAACCUUUCGAAAGGGAGACUAACACCCCAUAGUAUUGAUUUAAGGCAUCUUAGAUUAAUUAAAUAUUUAUAGGUAUAAGAUGGGCAUGCGUAUGAUUAGCUAGUUGGUAAGGUAACGGCUUACCAAGGCGACGAUCAUUAGGGGUUCUGAGAGGAAGGUCCCCCACACUGGUACUGAGACACGGACCAGACUCCUACGGGAGGCAGCAGUGAGGAAUAUUGGUCAAUGGGCGCAAGCCUGAACCAGCCAUGCCGCGUGCAGGAAAGACGGCCUUAUGGGUUGUAAACUGCUUUUACAUAAGACUAACCGUAUAUUUGCGAAUAUACCUGAAUGUAUUAUGAGAAUAAGGAUCGGCUAACUCCGUGCCAGCAGCCGC